CUGAUGAGUACCACCCCCAACACGUGACUGAUGAGCACCGCCCCCAACACGUGACUGAUGAGCACCACCCCCAACACUUGACUGAUGAACAGCACCCCCAACACGUGACUGAUGAGCACCACCCUCACUACUUCCACAGUGCUGACUAUGCUUCCAAUAUCGGCUCCUCAAGCAGAAGUAGGCCACAGGCAUGCCAGCAGUCACACGGCUUUGGAACCACCAGAGGCGUCAUUCUACUCAUCUGGCCCUCCUAUACAAGGACCUGAACUUGAGAACUCGUAGGCUCUGAGACUGCGGGGAUUUUCUUUAGCAUCCCAGCCUGUGAAUCAGGAAACGCUUUCAAGGAAUAAGAAGACUGUAAAGAAAGACACUUACUGCGUAAGAAGGGCAGCUGAGAGCACACUGGUACUGUUGGUACUUUACAGCUGAGCAAGAUGAGGAACACAGGGUUCAGACACGAGAAAAAAGUCCCAAUAGAUGAACUUCUUCCGGUCUUGCAUGGCUUUGUAGCCCAUGCAGUGUUUGUUAUGACGGUUUGGAGGGUUUGAAAUAAAAAGCGUUGACUUUGAGU
rnacentral:lncRNA from 1 species